GAUUGAACUGAAGAGUUUGAUCCUGGCUCAGAUUGAACGCUGGCGGCAUGCCUUACACAUGCAAGUCGAGCGGCAGCGCGGGGGCAACCCUGGCGGC
rnacentral:rRNA from 1 species